rnacentral:rRNA from 1 species
UACGUAAGGUGCGAGCGUUGUCCGGAAUCAUUGGGCGUAAAGGGUACGUAGGCGGAUAAGCAAGUUAGAAGUGAAAGCCUAUAGCUCAACUAUAGAAAGCGUUUAAAACUGUUUAACUUGAGAGAUGGAAGGGAAAGUGGAAUUCCUAGUGUAGCGGUGAAAUGCGCAGAUAUUAGGAGGAAUACCGGUGGCGAAGGCGACUUUCUGGCCAUAAACUGACGCUGAGGUCCGAAAGCGUGGGGAGCAAACAGG